GAUGAACGCUGGCGGUAUGCUUAACACAUGCAAGUCGAACGGACUCUUCGGAGUUAGUGGCGGACGGGUGAGUAACGCGUGAGAAUCUGGCUUUGGGUUCGGGACAACCACUGGAAACGGUGGCUAAUACCGGAUGUGCCGAGAGGUAAAAGAGAAAUUGCCUGAAGAUGAGCUCGCGUCUGAUCAGCUAGUUGGUGAGGUAAAGGCUCACCAAGGCAGCGAUCAGUAGCUGGUCUGAGAGGAUGACCAGCCACACUGGGACUGAGACACGGCCCAGACUCCUACGGGAGGCAGCAGUGGGGAAUUUUCCGCAAUGGGCGAAAGCCUGACGGAGCAAUACCGCGUGAGGGAAGAAGGCUCUUGGGUUGUAAACCUCUUUUCUUAGGGAAGAACAAAAUGACGGUACCUAAGGAAUCAGCAUCGGCUAACUCCGUG
rnacentral:rRNA from 1 species